rnacentral:rRNA from 1 species
AUGGUGAGGGACACCGGCGGCGCCCUGCAGCUGCUGGCGGUGCUUCUCCUCGUCCUGGCGUCCGAGCUCGCCACCUUCAGCUGCGGCCACAGGAUCCCCAGGGCGGACGUCGCCGCCUGGAAGCGCGGGGCGACGCCGACGGGACGCACGGCGUCCACCACGACGACGACGACGGCCACUCGUGCCGGCGGCGCGGCGGCGGCGGCGCUCGGCGACUCCAAGAGGCUGGUGCCGCAGGGGCCGAACCCGCUGCACAACUAG